AUACGCUGUGUGCAGUGCUGGAGAGAGACACCCUGGGGAUUCGCGAAAACGUCUAUUUGGUGCGGUGGUGCGCUGGGCGGAUGCCGAUGUUACAGCAACAGCUUCCCCUCACCUCUGAGAACAAAAAGAAGGUUCUGGGCAAGGCCCUAACCCUGAUCCGCUUCCCACUCCUGACGAUGUGGAGGAGUUUGCUGCGGGGCCUGCCAGUCUGGAAUAUUGUUCGAUCGGGAGGUGGUAAAUCUGUUUUUACACUUUACAGUAAACCCAAGCCCGCGGUAGACUACAUUGACAGGCCCCGCUGCUGCUCGAGGAAAGGAGGGCAGCAUUAGUAGGUUCCAGCAGGUUGAAAGUCGCUGGGAUACAGUGGCACCAGUGACAGGAUCAGAUUUAAUGUAUAGAAGAAUAUAGUGGUGGGGUUCGGACUGUAUGGCUCGAUCACGGACCUACGGACUAUCAGGUUAUAUAUCAGGUAAGCAUUUA